CCUACGGGAGGCAUCAGUCGGGAAUAUUGCGCAAUGGAGGAAACUCUGACGCAGUGACGCCGCGUAUAGGAAGAAGGUUUUCGGAUUGUAAACUAUUGUCGUUAGGGAAGAGAAAGGACAGUACCUAAGGAGGAAGCUCCGGCUAACUACGUGCCAGCAGCCGCGGUAAUACGUAGGGAGCGAGCGUUAUCCGGAAUUAUUGGGUGUAAAGGGUGCGUAGACGGGAAGAUAAGUUAGUUGUGAAAUCCCUCGGCUUAACUGAGGAACUGCAACUAAAACUGUUUUUCUUGAGUGCAGGAGAGGUAAGUGGAAUUCCUAGUGUAGCGGUGAAAUGCGUAGAUAUUAGGAGGAACACCAGUGGCGAAGGCGACUUACUGGACUGUAACUGACGUUGAGGCACGAAAGUGUGGGGAGCAAACA
rnacentral:rRNA from 1 species